UACGUAGGGGGCAAGCGUUGUCCGGAAUCAUUGGGCGUAAAGCGCGUGUAGGCGGCUGAGUAAGUCUGCUCUGAAAGCCCGGGGCUCAACCCCGGGAGGCGGGUGGAUACUGCUCAGCUCGAGUCCGGAAGAGGAGUGUGGAAUUCCUGGUGUAGCGGUGAAAUGCGCAGAUAUCAGGAAGAACACCUAUGGCGAAGGCAGCUCUCUGGGACGGUACUGACGCUGAGACGCGAAAGCGUGGGGAGCGAACAGG
rnacentral:rRNA from 1 species